rnacentral:rRNA from 1 species
CAGCCGCCGCGGUAAUACGUAGGGUGCAAGCGUUAAUCGGAAUUACUGGGCGUAAAGCGUGCGCAGGCGGCUAUAUAAGUCAGAUGUGAAAUCCCCGGGCUCAACCUGGGAACUGCAUUUGAGACUGUAUGGCUAGAGUGUGUCAGAGGGGGGUAGAAUUCCACGUGUAGCAGUGAAAUGCGUAGAUAUGUGGAGGAAUACCGAUGGCGAAGGCAGCCCCCUGGGAUAACACUGACGCUCAUGCACGAAAGCGUGGGGAGCAAACAGGAUUAGAUACCCCAGUAGUCCCUGUCUCUUAUAA